rnacentral:rRNA from 1 species
UAGGGAAUCUUCCGCAAUGGACGAAAGUCUGACGGAGCAACGCCGCGUGAGCGAAGAAGGCCUUCGGGUCGUAAAGCUCUGUUGUUAGGGAAGAACAAGUAUCGGAGUAACUGCCGGUACCUUGACGGUACCUAACCAGAAAGCCACGGCUAACUACGUGCCAGCAGCCGCGGUAAUACGUAGGUGGCAAGCGUUGUCCGGAAUUAUUGGGCGUAAAGCGCGCGCAGGCGGUCCUUUAAGUCUGAUGUGAAAGCCCACGGCUCAACCGUGGAGGGUCAUUGGAAACUGGGGGACUUGAGUGCAGAAGAGGAAAGCGGAAUUCCACGUGUAGCGGUGAAAUGCGUAGAGAUGUGGAGGAACACCAGUGGCGAAGGCGGCUUUCUGGUCUGUAACUGACGCUGAGGCGCGAAAGCGUGGGGAGCAAACA